CUGGUGGUGGUGGGGGUGGUGGUGGUGGUGGUGGGGUGGUGGUGGGGGGUGGUGGUGGUGAGGGGACGGGGGGGCUGGCUGCUGUAUCCACCCACCGGCUGGAUGGACAGGACUGGACGCAGCCUAUUGUCCUCUUCCUCCUCCUCCUCCUCCUCCUCCUCAGUGCUGCUCUUAGUUAUCGCACGAGUCCAGCUGUUACAUUCAUGCCGCAGUGCCCACGGGCUGAUGGGCACGGCGUGUCAGUGUAGCCCCUCUGUAGUCCGCUGCUGCGCUGGUGGUACCGACUCACUCAUCUUCUGCUCUGGUCUGAGAGAGGAGCAGGAGGGAGAGACCUACGGAAGAGAGGCAGAGCAAAGAGAGAGAGGUAGAGUUAGAGAGAGAGGGAGCAACGGAAGAGAGGCAGAGCAAAGAGAGAGAGGUAGAGUUAGAGAGAGAGGGAGCAACAGAAGAGAGAGGCAGAGCGGAGAGAGAGAGGUAGAGUUAGAGAGAGAGGGAGCAACGGAAGAGAGGCAGAGCAAAGAGAGAGAGGUAGAUUUAGAGAGAGAGGGAGCAACAGAAGAGAGAGGCAGAGCGGAGAGAGA
ensembl:lncRNA